rnacentral:rRNA from 1 species
AGUGGCGCACGGGUGAGUAACGCGUGGGUAACCUGCCCUCGAAUCCGGGAUAACUCUGCGAAAGCGGUGCUAAUACGGAUACGGUUUCGAAGACUUAGGUUUUCGGUAUUAAAGGUGACCUCUUCAUGAAAGUUGCCGUUUAAGGAUGGGCCCGCGUACCAUUAGCUAGUUGGUAGGGUAAUGGCCUACCAAGGCUACGAUGGUUAGCUGGUCUGAGAGGAUGAUCAGCCACACUGGAACUGAAACACGGUCCAGACUCCUACGGGAGGCAGCAGUGAGGAGUUUUGCGCAAUGGGGGAAACCCUGACGCAGCAACGCCGCGUGAGCGAAGAAGGCCUUCGGGUCGUAAAGCUCUGUCAAGUGGGAAAAACGUCUACCGGUCAAUAGCCGGGAGAUCUGAUGGUACCGCUGAAGGAAGCACCGGCUAACUCCGUGCCAGCAGCCGCGGUAAUACGGAGGGUGCAAGCGUUGUUCGGAAUUAUUGGGCGUAAAGAGCGUGUAGGCGGUUUAGUAAGUCAGAUGUGAAAGCCCUGGGCUCAACCCGGGAAGUGCAUUUGAAACUGCUUUACUUGAGUAUGGGAGAGGAGAGUGGAAUUCCUGGUGUAGAGGUGAAAUUCGUAGAUAUCAGGAGGAACAUCUGUGGCGAAGGCGACUCUCUGGACCAAUACUGACGCUGAGACGCGAAAGCGUGGGUAGCAAACAGGAUUAGAUACCCUGGUAGUCCACGCCGUAAACGAGGAAAACUAGGUGUAGCGGGUAUUGACCCCUGCUGUGCCGAAGUUAACGCAUUAA